ACCACGAAGCGCACAAUAUUCCACUAAUUAUUUUUGGCAUAUUUUCAUUAUUGGCGUGGAAAUUCCUUCAAACUUUUUAGUGUCCUUUUUUGACUGGAUGGCUGGAAAUCCUACGAUUUUAAACCCAAUUUUAAGUAGUUUAUUUUCCAUAAGACAUUAUUGGAACCUCCGAACAUUGCCAACAGCCCGCAUCCCAGUGAAGAGUCAUUUGCCAGCCACUGGCGAGACGCUGCGACUCGAGUCGACUUUUUGUCUGCCAAAUAUGGGAGGGGCAUGCCACGGGGGUAUGUCAGUUUGCCGCGUGGAUGAUGGAGUGCGCCAUUGUUGCAUUUUAAUUGAAAUUUCUGUGUGAACUUGGCGCGACACCCGUGCAGCAGCAGCAGCAUCAACACUAACGAGAGCCCCGAAUGAUGGCAAAAAAGGAGCAAAUAAAACAGUGUCGGGUGCAAUCACAAGGCAAACAAGGACAUGACAAUGCCAAAGUGGCAAUACAUAAAAAUGAAUGAAUAAAGCGGACAGCAAAAUGAGAGAAAUGGAAAACGGCAAUACUCGUAGUAGUAGAGCAGAGUCUGCCAAAUCUGUCACCGAUUUUGCUCCAAUUUGUGUAAUUUUUGUAAUAUUAAGGAGUCUUUAAUCAGACCAUAGGAAUUCCCAUUCCCCCUUCACCGCAUAGUAUGUUUAAUGUGACCUCAGUUGCUGGCAAUUAAAGGGUAUUCAAAAGCUCUCUUUUUA
rnacentral:sRNA from 1 species